rnacentral:rRNA from 1 species
GUGAGGAAUAUUGCGCAAUGGAGGCAACUCUGACGCAGCCAUGCCGCGUGCAGGAAGAAGGCGCUACGCGUUGUAAACUGCUUUUAACCGGGAAGAAACCCCAGGACGUGUCCUGGGUUGACGAUACCGGAGGAAUAAGCACCGGCUAACUUCGUGCCAGCAGCCGCGGUAAUACGAAGGGUGCAAGCGUUAUCCGGAUUCAUUGGGUUUAAAGGGUGCGUAGGCGGAGCGUUAAGUCAGUGGUGAAAUCCUGCAGCUUAACUGUAGACUUGCCAUUGAUACUGGCGCUCUUGAGUGCGCUUGAAGUGGGCGGAAUGUGCCGUGUAGCGGUGAAAUGCUUAGAUAUGGCACAGAACACCAAUUGCGAAGGCAGCUCACUAAGGCGAUACUGACGCUGAGGCACGAAAGCGUGGGGAUCGAACAGGAUUAGAAACCCCGGUAGUCC